AUACCAGCUCUUCAAGUGGUCGGGAUAAUUAUUGGGCUUAAAGUGUCCGUAGCCGGUUUAGUAAGUUCCUGGUAAAAUCGGGUAGCUUAACUAUCUAUAUGCUAGGAAUACUGCUAUACUAGAGGGCGGGAGAGGUCUGAGGUACUACAGGGGUAGGGGUGAAAUCUUAUAAUCCUUGUAGGACCACCAGUGGCGAAGGCGUCAGACUGGAACGCGCCUGACGGUGAGGGACGAAAGCCAGGGGAGCGAACCGGAUUAGAUACCCGAGUAGUCC
rnacentral:rRNA from 1 species